rnacentral:rRNA from 1 species
AAGAGACAGCAGCCGCCGCGGGAAUACGUAGGCGGCAAGCGUUGUCCGGAAUUAUUGGGCGUAAAGCGCGCGCAGGCGGAUAGGUCAGUCUGUCUUAAAAGUUCGGGGCUCAACCCCGUGAUGGGAAAGAAACUACAUGUCUUGAGUACAGGAGAGGAAAGAGGAAUUCCUAGUGUAGCGGUGAAAUGCGUAGAUAUUAGGAAGAACACCAGUGGCGAAGGCGACUUUCUGGACGAAAACUGACGCUGAGGCGCGAAAGCCAGGGGAGCGAACGGGAUUAGAUACCCCAGUAGUCCCUGUCUCUUAUACA